rnacentral:rRNA from 1 species
CCUACGGGUGGCAGCAGUGGGGAAUAUUGGGCAAUGGACGCAAGUCUGACCCAGCAACGCCGCGUGAAGGAAGAAGGCUUUCGGGUUGUAAACUUCUUUUAAGGGGGAAGAGCAGACGACGGUACCCCUUUAAUAAGCCACGGCUAACUCCGUGCCAGCAGCCGCGGUAAUACGGAGGAUGCGAGCGUUAUCCGGAUUUAUUGGGUUUAAGGGGUGCGUAGGCGGAAUGCCAAGUCAGCGGUAAAAUCGCGGGGCUCAACCUCGCUCCGCCGUUGAAACUGGCGUUCUUGAGUGGGCGAGCAGUAUGCGGAAUGCGUGGUGUAGCGGUGAAAUGCAUAGAUAUCACGCAGAACUCCGAUUGCGAAGGCAGCAUACCGGCGCCCAACUGACGCUGAAGCACGAAAGCGUGGGUAUCGAACAGGAUUAGAUACCCCGGUAGUC